rnacentral:lncRNA from 1 species
UCUCGCUAACAAGCUAGAUCAAGGAGGAAGCAAUGGGGCACCAGCUGUUCGUCGACGACCCGUUCGCGAGCAGCAUCUCGUCGCUGGAGGCGGAGGCCAUCUUCUCCGGCGCCGGCGGGCAGUGGCGCGGCGGCGGCGGCCUCGACGACCGUGACCUCUCCGCCAUGCCGGCGGCGGCCAACACCUCGUCGGGCGGCUCCGGCUCUCCCGGCGGCGGCGGCAGGAAGAUGAGCCACAACGCGUACGAGCGCGACCGCCGCAAGCAGCUCAACGAGCUCUACUCCUCCCUCCGCUCCCUCCUCCCCGACGCCGACCACACAGUACGAAACCAAUCAAAUCAAAUUCAAACCAUGCCACCAUGGAUCUUUGAUCCUGAUGCAUCUCUGCUUGGAAUCCUGACGCAUCUGGUGAUGAUUUGACUAACUGCAGAAGAAGCUGAGCAUCCCGAUCACGGUGUCGCGGGUGCUAAAGUACAUCCCGGAGCUGCAGAAGGAGGUGGACGGGCUGGAGAGGAAGAAGGAGGAGCUCACGCGCGCCAAUUGCAAGCCGGGAGUGAUCGCCAUGAAGGACCAGAACGUGGCCCCUGUUGUCUCCGCGACCUGCC